AACUAUACCAGACCCAGCCAGGGCUGCUCGGUUGUACAGAGAAACAAUGCUGGACAUUCAUGCAUCAGGGAAGCCGCUGCAUUUGCAUGUUAACCUGGGAGACAGACCAAGAAAUGGCUUUCAUUGCAUUUUACAAGGCACGCAAUGUAGAGUGGGCAAAUCCUAUGCAAUCCAGACUUGAAGGUGAUCCUGCAAUCGGAGAGGGAGUGAACCGCUACUGGUUUUCCAGAGUGAUGCAGAAGCUAAAAGAGGGUUUUAACUUGAACUUUGGAAAUUGCUGUGUCACAAGGCUGUUCGAUGGAGAGCCAGACCACCUUGUGCCUUCAUCGUCUGCAUUCUUGGUUGAGAGUGACCUUUUUCUGAUGGUGGGCAGAAUCAUUGGCCAUUGCUUCCUGCAUGGAGGUCCUGCACUGACAGGCCUAAGCCCAGCUGUUGUUCAUAUCCUGUGUGGAGGCACAGCUGAAACUGCCACCAUUAGCAUCCGUGACUGUCCAGACAUGGAUCUAAGGGAGAACAUCCAGAUACUCGAAGGGAACUCCGAACUCUCAGCUGCUGAGAAGGAGAGUGUGAACACCUUGUGUCUGGCAUGGGACCUUCCUGUGAUGUCUAACGACAAGCGGCGAUGGCUCUUUGAGAGACAUCUUUAUCAUGCGGUAAUUGGACGAGCCAUGAGGCAAAUCAGAAAAGGACUCAAAGACACUAUGCUGUGGCCCCUCAUUAAUCAACGUCCAGAUGUAGCUCCAAUUCUUUUUCCACAGGAGUCAAGUGCUGUGUUGACCCCAGAGAUGGCUUGUCUGUGUGAUGUUUUUGUAUGUCGAGCAUUCUUGACCGCAUCAACUGGCCGACCAUGAUUGACGUUGGUGAUGAUGAUGAUGAAUGCUCUUUGGAAGAUAAGAGCCGUGUCACAGGAUACCUUCGUCGCUUCAUUCAAGAUGCAUCCAGUGAUGAGUUGAAGGAACUUGUAAAGUUCUGGGUUGGAUGGGAGGCUCCUUCCAGUACCCUCACAGUGGAGGUGAUUAACGGUGGCCUACCAAAGUCAUCCACAUGCUUUGAAACACUCCGUAUUCCUGCCCACUACCAAGACUACCCAACAUUCAAGAAAGAGUUGAUGGCGUGUCUCAGCACAAAUGACACUGGAUUUGGGCUGGUGUAAAUGUUGGCAGCAAAAUGUGUGACUGUUAUACCACAGCUUGUACCUAAAGCUAUAGUCAACUGUUCAAUGUUCUUGUUUGCUCAGUUCAGAUAAUUUUACCUUACUCAACAUGUCUGUUGCAAGUGUAUUGUGCUUUUACUGUAAGCCUAGAAGGUGUUGGACAUACUGAACAGUAGCUAAAUAAAUGUCUGAGCCAUGUGAUUGGGACUGUGCCAGGGGAUUUAUGGCUGCCCCCAGUGCUGCCUCUUGUUGAUGGCUCAACAAAUGGCCUGUCUCAGGAACAGUGACCCCAUGGUGUGGAUCAUCAGGCAGGCCACUGUCCUCCCAGUCAAGAUGAGGGAGGUAUAAUUCCUAAAAGAAAGACACCAGAAUGUGAUAUAUGAAAACCAGUUGCAGAUAGUUAAAAAAUAACUUAAAUGUCCAAAUGUGAAAUAUAUAUACUCACUAGUAAGACAUGAGCAUGCAAAACAUUCUUGUGUGCAGGAGUUUUUUGUUUGUUUGUUAGAGCAAGGGUGUACUGUAACAAUUUUCAGGUUAUGGCCGAACAAGUUGAUUUUCAUUGUGGACGACAAAUAAAAAGAUUUUUGCCCUAGGGACCCAGAUAUUAUAAGAUACUGUAUGUUUAGUAUUACAUUGUAUGUGAU